AUUUUCUUAGCUCUUUAAGGUCAUGCAAUUGAAUUGUUGACUAUGACAUGUUCCAUGCAUAAAUUGCGUGUUUUCUUAGCAUUAGUUGUUAAUGUUCACAGAUGUGUAGAUUAUUUUCUCAAUUCUUUCGAUGGCAAGCUAGAGCUUUUAUUUAAAAUAUUUGAAAGGCAGGAAGAGUGAACUAGGGAAGUUUGCUGGUUUGGACCUUACACAACCAGUGUUGAGACAUUUAUUCCAAACACUGGGCGCGGUAUUCAAGGUGCAACCUCCCCUUGUUUGGGCCAAAACUUUGCAAAAAUGUUCGAGAUAAACUUUGAAAAUGAAAAAGGGGAAAAGUCUAUGGUCUGGCAGAAUUCCUGGGCAUAUAGCACUCGAACGGAGGUGGGAGAAAGAUAUGAAAGCUCGAACAAGGGGUGAGAUGGGAGCAGCUAAGUCUCUUUAUACCCCAUUUGAACAGCCUGAACUCCCAGAAGGUACUUGACUCCAUCCAUGCAGGCAUUUCU